AUGUCGUCACCGUUUUCACGAAGUGGCCUCAGUGGCCAAAAUCGUUGAAAUUUUUAAUUUCGAGUUUUGACCGUUUUUGAGCAAUGUAUAUAAAUGUCUACAACUUCAGUAAUUUUCAAAGUCUAAUCUUGCUUAAUUACGUCAUACGUGACGUCACGAAACGUAUCACAGGCGGUACAACUGGCAAACACCGUUUUCACGAAGUGGCCUCUUACGCGCAAAUGUAGUCUGCUAUUGAUAAUCGUACACGAACCGGCUCCGCGAAGCCUUUGUCACAGAUGCCGGUGCUUCUGGCGGAAUUGUUAGAGGAAUCUGACAGCCCUAGUUUACCAGUAGAAUAGACAGCUGGGAUACGCAAGAGAUGAGGGACCACUAGCACCCCCAGUGGUUGAUGUCCAUGUAGGAGUUUGUGCAGCUGAUGUGGAGAGCUUUUAGCAAAUUGACAAGCAUCUUCACCCUCUGCCCUUGAACUGAUUACGUUUCCAAUACCACGGUUUGGAGGUCAGACCAAACGACUGACAGACCGACCGACUGAAUAGCUAAGUCCCCUCAGUCAUCAAAGGAUGGACAAAAAUACAGAAGUUAUUGUUAGGUGGGAUCGUGAUGGAGAGAUCAAUUGUGGCAAGAAACGAGAUCUUCGAUAUAACGGAAGGCUUAGGGUGGGUUCAAGAGUCACUAUGAGCUAGAUGGAUGUGGACUGGACGGGGACUGCAAUGCUGACAGGAGACUCUGACUCCGAAUGUGCCUCCAUUUAGAGGUUUUGUGGUCUAGUGGAUAAGUCGUUGGACUGUGGAUCACAGGAUCUAUGGUUCAAGUCCCGCC
rnacentral:lncRNA from 1 species